rnacentral:rRNA from 1 species
AGGCAUGCUGGAGGUAUCAGAAGUGCGAAUGCUGACAUAAGUAACGAUAAAGCGGGUGAAAAGCCCGCUCGCCGGAAGACCAAGGGUUCCUGUCCAACGUUAAUCGGGGCAGGGUGAGUCGACCCCUAAGGCGAGGCCGAAAGGCGUAGUCGAUGGGAAACAGGUUAAUAUUCCUGUACUUGGUGUUACUGCGAAGGGGGGACGGAGAAGGCUAUGUUGGCCGGGCGACGGUUGUCCCGGUUUAAGCGUGUAGGCUGGUUUUCCAGGCAAAUCCGGAAAAUCAAGGCUGAGGCGUGAUGACGAGGCACUACGGUGCUGAAGCAACAAAUGCCCUGCUUCCAGGAAAAGCCUCUAAGCAUCAGGUAACAUCAAAUCGUACCCCAAACCGACACAGGUGGUCAGGUAGAGAAUACCAAGGCGCUUGAGAGAACUCGGGUGAAGGAACUAGGCAAAAUGGUGCCGUAACUUCGGGAGAA